UGGUGGCCCCUGCUGGACUUGAACCAGCGACCAAGCGAUUAUGAGU
rnacentral:tRNA from 1 species